rnacentral:rRNA from 1 species
GACGAACGCUGGCGGCGUGCCUAAUACAUGCAAGUAGAACGCUGAAGAGAGGAGCUUGCUCUUCUUGGAUGAGUUGCGAACGGGUGAGUAACGCGUAGGUAACCUGCCUUGUAGCGGGGGAUAACUAUUGGAAACGAUAGCUAAUACCGCAUAACAAUGGGUGACACAUGUCAUUUAUUUGAAAGGGGCAAUUGCUCCACUACAAGAUGGACCUGCGUUGUAUUAGCUAGUAGGUGAGGUAAUGGCUCACCUAGGCGACGAUACAUAGCCGACCUGAGAGGGUGAUCGGCCACACUGGGACUGAGACACGGCCCAGACUCCUACGGGAGGCAGCAGUAGGGAAUCUUCGGCAAUGGGGGCAACCCUGACCGAGCAACGCCGCGUGAGUGAAGAAGGUUUUCGGAUCGUAAAGCUCUGUUGUAAGUCAAGAACGGGUGUGAGAGUGGAAAGUUCACACUGCGACGGUAGCUUACCAGAAAGGGACGGCUAACUACGUG